rnacentral:rRNA from 1 species
UAGCCAUGCAUGUCCAAGUACAAGCCUCAUUAAGGUGAAACCGCGAAUGGCUCAUUAAAUCACAUCUAAUAUACCGGACAGUGCCAGUUACUUGGAUAACUGCGGUAAUUCUGGAGCUAAUACAUGCUGACGAGCCCCGAACUCACGUGAAGGGCGCUUUUAUUAGACCAAAACCAAACGUCCUCGGACGUCCCCCUUGGUGACUCUGAAUAACUUUUUGCUGAUCGCACGGCUCCACGCCGGCGACGCGUCCGUCUAAGGUGUGCCCUAUCAACUGUCGACUGUGGCAUAGACGCCCACAGUGGUUUUGACGGGUAACGGGGAAUCAGGGUUCGAUUCCGGAGAGGGAGCCUGAGAAACGGCUACCACUUCUACGGAAGGCAGCAGGCACGCAAAUUACCCACUGGCCGAAGGCCGAGGUAGUGACGAAAAAUAACGAUACCGGACUCAUCCGAGGCCCGGUAAUCGGAAUGAGUACACUCUAAACCCUUUAACGAGGAACAAUUGGAGGGCAAGUCUGGUGCCAGCAGCCGCGGUAAUUCCAGCUCCAAUAGCGUAUGUUAAAGUUGUUGCGGUUAAAAAGCUCGUAGUUGGAUCUCACCACCCCUGCGGCGGUCGCCUGUUCGGGCGGACUGCCGUCUCUGGGGUGUGACGCUUCGUCGGAGCCUGGGGGUGCUCUUAACCGAGUGUCCCCUGGCGCCGUCGGGUUUACUUUGAAAAAAUUAGAGUGCUCAACGCAGCCUUACACGCCUGGAUAUCCGUGCAUGGA